rnacentral:lncRNA from 1 species
UGCUCCCCAAAAUCCUAUAAAAGCCCAUCCUUGGUUCCGUGGGGCGCGCCAGUCCCCCGAGUGACUGAAGCGCCCGCAGGUGCCUGUGCCUGUGUAUCCCGACAAUAAACCAAAUCCUCUUGCUGAUUGCAUCCUGUGGUGUCUCGGUCUGGUCUUUGGAGUUGGAGGGUCUCCAUCCAGAGGGAAAGUUCUCCCUGAGAGCUUUUCAUUUGGUGCAUUGGCCGGGAAAGGAGAUCCUCCACCCAGGGACCACCGACCACCCACUGGGAGGUAAGCUGGCCGGCGUCUGUCUGUCUGUCUGAUUUUGUCUCGUUCUGCCUUAUUCUGUCUGUUCUGUGAGCGCUCAGCCAGGUUCUGUGAGCGCUCAGCCAGGUCUGUUCUGUGAGCGCUCAGCCAGGUUGUUUGGAAUUUGGGCGGGACGAAGAAGGAGCUGACGAGCUCGGACUUCUCGCCCCGCAGCCCUGGAAGACGUUCCAAGGGUGUUAGGGCCCGACUUUUCGAGGCCCAAUCUGGGAGAGGAGAAAGAUCCGGACUAACGGCACUUCUGUCUGUAUUUUUGGCUUUCAGAGGGCCCCGGACCUUUGCCACCUCCAUCUGACUUUUUGCUUUCAGUUUGGUACCAAAGCCGUGCAGCACGCCUGUCUGUUGUUUGUUUGACUGUUGGUGUUGUUUGUUUUCUCUGUGUUCUAAUCUUCCUUAGAACUAACAUGGGACAGUCCCUAACAACGCCCCUAAGUCUCACUCUUGAUCAUUAGAAAGACGUCCACGACCGGGCACACAACCAGUCCGUCGAGGUUAAAAAAAAAAAAAGAAAAUGACAGACUCUCUGCACAUCCGAGUGGCCCACUUUCGGAGCGGGAUGGCCAGUGAAUGGCACAUUUAAUAAGAUCAUUAUUUUACAGGUUAAAGAUCGGGUCGUCCACGGACAUCCUGACCAGGUUUCUUAUAUUAUCACUUGAGAGAGUCUCGCCUUAAACCCCCCCCCCCCCCGGGCGGAACCCUUCGUGGACCCGAAUUGGCCUCCCCUCAACCCCCAGCCUGUCCCCUCGGCCCCGCCCGGUCUGCCGGCCAC